rnacentral:lncRNA from 1 species
GAGAAGAAAUACCAGUUGUUAUAAUUCGUCCUAGCAUUAUUGAAAGUACCUAUAAGGAACCCAUCCCUGGAUGGAUCGAAGGGCUCAGGUUUCGUAUUUAAUUUCUUAAAUAUGUUCUGACCAUUUGUUUUUAUUUUGUUACAUAUUAUUUGGCUAAUUUUGUUAUGUUAAUACACAAUACCUAGGAUGAUGGACCCACUACUUAUAUACUAUGGAAAAGGAGAACUGACUGCAUUCCCUGUAGAUGCAAAGGGUGUCAUCGACGCGGUUAGUAGCAAUCAUAAAUAGAGUCUAUUUGCAGUUUUAUUUCAUAUACAUUGAAUAAACCUAAAUUUCUUAGGUAGAUGUUAUCUUUUAAGAUAAAUACCAUGUCUCUCUUUACUAAUCAGUGUUUUUAUAACUCAUGAAUUACUGUAGGUUCCAGCAGAUAUGGUGGUAAAUGCAAUGUUAGCAGCAAUGGCAAAACAUGGAGCAGUUGGAAAACCUGGACUGCGCGUAUACCACAUUGCUUCAUCUGUUGUAAAUCCACUAGUCUACCAAGACUUGUGUGAUUAUUUUUUCGACUACUUCAAUUCUUCCCCUUACAUGGACUUGCAAAGGAGACCAAUCAAAAUUCAACCAGCUAAGGUUUUCAACUCCAUGGAUGAUUUCCACACUCACAUUCAAACUGAAGCAGUUCAAAGGAGUGCAAAUUCUCCACAAGAAAUACGUUUCUCAAAGAGAGUCCAAAGAUCAUUAGAUCUUGCCAAACAUUUGGCCAAACUAUAUGAGCCAUAUACAUUUUAUGAAGGAAGGUACGUAAGAUGCUGUUAUGUUUAAUGAAACGUCCAACACAUUUGUUAUAAAUGAUUACUAACUCUUAACUAUUGGGGAUACCAUUAUUUUUACAGGUUCGACAACACGAAUGUGCAAAUGUUAAUAAAGGAGCUAUCUGAAGAGGAGAAGAGACACUUUGAUUUCGAUGUUGGAAGCGUAGAUUGGAAGGAUUAUAUAUGUAACAUUCAUAUUCCUGGUGUAUUGAGGCAUGUACAAAAAGGAAGAGGUUUGUAGAUGUAAUUUGUGUGGUGUGGUUCAGUAGUGGUUGUAAGUCUACAUUGAUGAAACAUGUACAGUACUAUACGCGUGUCAGAUUUAUUGUUGAGUUGGGUUCGUUCUUUGUUUUGGUUGUACGUUAAUGUUUUUAACUUUGUUUGAUUAACCGUGCCCAGCUUACAGUUAAGGGCUGUCUUUCGCCUGUCCUAUAAACAAGUAGUAUACAUGGCUUUAGCUCGGGAUCGAUCUUAAAUUGGCCAGGUUCCCUCCCCGGUAAAGCUACCCAAAAAUAUUCUUACGGGCGUCGAUUCGAGUUGAGUCGACAGCGCUGAGGAGACUGUGAUGUUGCUAUGUUGGUUGGCAACCGUCCAUCACGGAAGCUUUGUCUCAAUCUUGUCUUUUUUUUAAUUUUUUUCCAAAAAUGUAUAUGCAUCCCUUCAUAUUUUACUUUUGAUGGAUACAUGCAUUUUUGCCAUUUUGGUAUUAAAUGGCUGGGAUGCUCAAUGGUCCUACAAAUUUGAGAGUUUGGUAUGAACAAGCUUAGCCGGAAAGGUGGUUUUCAGGUUCAACAAUACCAAUGUGCAGAUGAUGAUGAAAGAAUCAUCUCAAGAGGAGCGAAGGAGCUUUGGUUUCGAUGUUGGAAGUUAAAACUAGCAUAGAUUGGAAGGAUUAUAUAUGCAACAUUCAUAUUCAUGGUCUACUGUAGCUGAAAUUUGUGUGGUUCAGUGUGGUUGUAUAAGAACAUAUGUACUUACCUAAACUUAAUAAAAUGUUGAUAUUGGCCUUAUCCCCAUUGGUGAUAAUAAUUUUAAAGAAUGCUUGUCAGAUUUUCGAUUUUGGAAGGAUUUUAUGAGCUGGGGUGAUGUUCUUCAAUUCUUAUUGAACCCACCCUUAUGAACAUGACAACCAUUCCGAAUGAUUUCGGAUUUGAUCUGGCAUUGAAUCAGAAGCUGUUCAAAUGUGUGCAAAAGCCUCACAAGGGAUGUUUUUUGUCGAGGAGACAUUGAAUGAUCAGUAGACACCUCUCUCACAAAGUGGAGAGGUUGUGGGUUCGAAACAUGUCAAUAGCUGACUGAUUGUUGAUAUAAGUUUCCACAUGUAAUUUAAAGGGGUAGGUGAUAGAAUACAAGAGUGAUGAAAGAAAGAAGAUGAAAAAUAAUUAUAUUUCUCUUAUUAAAACCUCUAUUACAAAGACCUUUAUAUACACAGGUCUGUUGAUAUAACAAACUCUAACAGAUUAUCUAACUAAUUACAGUUAUUAUUCCUAACUAAUUACAGUUGUUAACUGUUGCUGUGUUGUCAUUCUUUGCUGAUGUGUCACUCUUUGCUGAUGUGUCAAUACCUCCCCUCAAACUGAUGGCAGUACUGACAGAAAGUUUGGACCUCAGAAAAUUAAAUCUUGAAGUAGAUAGACCUUUGGUGAAUAUGUCAGCUAGCUGAUCAGUAGUACACAAGUAGUAGAUAUCCAGUAAAUUUUGAGUAACAAGUUCUCUGACAUAGUGGUAAUCGACCUCAACAUGUUUUGUCCGAGCAUGGAACACAGGAUUGGAUGCAAGAGAAAUUGCACUGAUGUUAUCACAGUAUAAAGCAGGCCUUCCUUUGAAAGUGAUAUGAAGAUCUUUUAAGAGAUGACAUAACCAAGUAAAUUCUGCAGCACACUGAGCAAGAGCUCUAUAUUCAGACUCAGUUGAACUUUUGGCAACUGUAGCUUGCUUCUUGGAGCACCAAGAGAUGAGAUUAGGACCAAAGUAUACACAGUAACCAGUGAUGGAUCUUCUGUCCAUAGGACAGCUAGCCCAAUCAGCAUCAGAAAAGCAGGUAAUAGUAGAAGGUCCUUUGUGAAGAGACAGUCCAUAGGUAAUAGUACCCUUAAGAUAUCUCAAAAUCCUCUUUACAACAGUAAGAUGUGGGAUCCUGGGUCUAUGCAUAAACUGGCAAACUUGAUUGACUGAGAAAGAUAUUUCAGGUCUGGUCCAGGUAAGAUACUGUAGAGAUCCUACAAGAGAUCUUUAACUCGUAAGUAACUCACCGGUUUCAUUAUCUAACCUGGUGGUAGUAGCACAGGGAGAGGAACAGGAUUUUGUUAAUAACAUGGAUGCCUUUUCUAACAAAUCAUGAAUAUAUUUAGACUGAGAAAGAGUGAUGGUAGUGGGAGUUCGUUGUACUUCCAAGCCAAAAAAAUAAUGAAGAGGACCUAAAUCUUUCAUGGAAAUUUUUUGACUAAGAUUUUGAAUGAGUGUUUGACAAGUAGACAUGGAGGAACCUGUGAUGAUAAUAUCAUCUACAUAUACCAAAAUAUAAGUCAGAGAAGAACCUGAUUGUUGAAUGAACAAAGAGUGGUCGACAUGAGACGUAUGAAAGCCUAACUGUAACAAAGCUCUAUGCAACUCUGUAUACCAGACCCUGGGAGCUUGGCUUGAUAAACGAUUCCAUAUUUCAUGAUUACUCUGCUUAAUUGGUUGUCAGGCUAUGUAACCUUGUUAUUACUCUGCUUAAUUUAUUUUCACUUUGGUUGAUAACAUAUUUCCAUUAAUUAGAAGAAGUGCAGAAGGAGAAGCUUAGAAAUGGGGAGAGAGAGAAAGAGAUACAAGUAGAAAGAAAUACAGGAAACAGACGCAUAAUCGGAUCCUAACUGGGUUAAACUCAACCUUGUACAAUAUAUCACAUUAGCGUUUAAAACUCACGUGACUCUUUUUAUUUUUAGUAUAUCCGCACAGGUCCGCAUUAAACAGGUCCGUAUGAGAGCCUAUAUAUAUAUUACAGUUAGUUACAUGUAUUUAUCCACCUUUAACAAAUUCUAAUUUAAAAUUGUAGAAUCUAAUGCAUUCUGUUAUUAGUUCAAUUCAAAAUUUAAUUCAAAAAAUUAACCACCAAUAUUGAUCAUCUAACUAAUGUUAAAUGCCUGAAUAAAAAAUUUAGGUACACUAUUGAACUAAUUAAAUUCGGUGACGGUAACAUUAACCAAAAUAUUGCUAAGUAUAUACAGCAGUAUAAACCUUGACCAAUUUAAUUAGUUUGUUUUUGAAUCUAAAUUAUAAUCAGCAAAGGGUGCAUAAUUUGACUAGGACUAAAAUUUAGUAUGACUAGAUUAAAUUAGUAUGACUAGGAUUAAUAUUUAGUGUGACUAGGAUUAAAUUAGUAUGACUAAGAUUAAUAUUUAGUGUGACUAGGAUUAAAACCCCAUUCUUUCUUCCCCGUCCCCAUCUUUCUCUUCCCUUUCUCUUCCCCAACUUCAGUCUUUCUCAAACUUCUUCCCCGUCCAGCCGCCCCCAUCUCAUUCUCUUCUCUUCUCUUCUCAAAUUUUUAAAAUUUAUCAAAUUUUUAAAAUUUAUACCAAUUGCAUAAUUUUGAUUACUGCUUUUUUCACUAAACCUUUUUUCUUCCCCUACCAAACCUUUCUCUUCUUCACUAAACCUUAAUAAAACAUCAUCAUAUCAGUCAUCAAUCAACUUUCUUCAAAAGGUAUGCAUUUCUCCUUCAAUCAAACCUCUCUUUCUACUUUUUUAUCAAUUUCUAUUUUUCUAUCAUAGAAGAUAAUCCCUGUACUAACAUAUAAUUGAAACUAUUUUAUUUAUCCAAAUUUAUAUUUUUAUUGUAGUAUACAAUUAAAUUAAUUAUGCCUACCAUGGCUGCGCCAUUAUAAGCCUAAUCAUCAUCUUCAAUCCUAUUUAUCAUCGCCAAGGUAAGUCCCCUAUCAUAAACCUCUUUUUCUCCUUCAAUCAAACUCCAUCUUUGCUCUUUAAUCAAACUCUGAACGACCUCUCUUUAUUAUAUAAUCAAACCAACUUUUAAACCAAUUUCUAAAUUUCUGACAUAAUAAUCAGUUUAGCAAUAAUAAGGGCUUAGCAAAAGAUUAGCCAUUAAACCUUAAACAAUAACGAUCGAUUUUCAGCAUAGUAAAUUUUAAUUUAUCUUAAACAAUAACGAUCGAUUUUUAAUAUAACUAUCUUACCCCAUCUCUUAAAAUCUUGCAAAUAUAUAUCGUUUUUUACUUGCAAAUAUAUAUCUUAGAAAUUAUCUAAAUUGGUCAAAGCCUCAAAGGUAUCAAGAAUGAUGAUGGUAUUCACCUGUUCAGUUUUAUUCAGUUUUGUUCAGUUUUGUAAAAUUAGUCUGUGAGUUUGUUGGCCUAAUCAAAAUUUCCCAUGCCUUGGUUUCGUAAAUAUGACUUUGUGCCACAGCCUGCAUCAAUACAAUGCAAUACCCUCGCAAUUGGUUAGCCCAACAAUGUAGUGAUUUUUAUUUGGUUGAAUUAAUCUACAGAUUCAAAUUGGAUCAGCAAUUUGCUUUAUGAUAAAUACAUUAACAUGUUAUAACUUCUAUAGUAAAUGUGUAUAAUCAACUUAUAUAGUAGCAGUCGAUAACAUAGUAGCAUACCAGUUGCAGUAGUCAGUGUUAGCUACCCAUCCAGGUGGGAAUAUGGUUUUAUUAAUUUAAAAAAGAACCUUAUUGUCAUUUGGAUGGCAACGAUGAUUAGUAGCAGAGUGAGUAUAGGGACUAAUAAGACAAAAAAAAUAUGAAUGAGAAUAGAAUGAAAGCCACCAGUGCAAAUUGGUUUAUGUAGAGCAGAGGUUUCAACAUAUGGAUAUGUAAGCUUAUAUCAAAUAAAUUUGAAUUUUGCUUAUUGUAAGCAACAUUAAUGUAUCGUGAAUGUGUUCCACUUCAUUCUUGCAUUGCUUUCAUAUGCCAGUCUUCAUUUAUCAUUUUUUGCAGACAACUAUGUGUGAGAAUUAUACAGGAAUUGACUUAUCUUAAGUAUUUUCAUGUGUUUGUCAUGUUUACAGGUAAGAACCUAUUCUACUAUCCUUACUGAAGCAUUAAAUUGUGAUUGCUGCAAGGAAAUAGAUGCCACAAAUGAAAGGACUUAGAGCUUGGUUUGGGAUUAUAUAUGUUUAUGUUGUCGUUACUAAUGAAGAGCUUUAAAAAGGAAUGAUUUGCAGAUCCAUAAGGUAAAUCUACUUUAUAUUCCACUCUUUUGGACUUAUCAAAUAGAUAUAUGCGUUUGAACAUAUCAUCUAAUUUAUAAGGACUUUACAUGAAAUUUGUAAAUAGAAAAGAAUGUGACAAGUUUAGUUGUAAAAGAAGAAGAAGUUCAGGUUUUGGAAAACAACUAAUUACAGUUUGGGUUUCUAGGACCAAAUAGUAGAUAAGACAAACAGAGUACAACAGUGAAUAAAAGAAAGGGUUUACGAUCAUUUUAGACAAAUUUGAGUUUUACAUAUGUUUGGCUGAAAAUUUGCUAUACAGGAAGAAAUUUGUUUACCAAAUUAAUUCUGAGUGUUGGAAAACAAAUAUGGACUAUUUAUUAGGCUGAAAAUGUUCAAGUCACAGUCAAAUGAAUCAACAAAAUAAACUUUUUAUUUGCAGGAAACAUUUCUGGUUUUCACGGUCAUAUAAUGAUAUAAACGUACAUGCUCUAUUAUUUGUUCUGAGCUAAGUCGUUAAAUUGUAGAAAUAUGAGGCUAUUUUACUCUUAGUCAUUAAUUGAUUAAUAUGAAUCUAAUGCCAAGGAGCCCUCAAUAACAUUGGCUAGGAGUUUGAAGAAAAAUAUUGUCCAUUAAUGCUGAAUGGUAACACAUGCUGAAUGUGCUCCUUUGUGAAGCAACACACCUUGGUUUCACAAUGUUCUUUUACUUUGGAUAGUCAAGAAGCCAUUCAACAAGAUCAGAUAGUCAUUAAACAUGAAAAAUUGAGUGCAAAAUGGUAAGAUAGUCACUAAACAUGCAAAAGCUCUCUGUAAUGUUACUGGUUAUUGGUGUAGGUGCCCAUUUCUGCUCUGACUAUCGUUUACAGUAAAAUAGUUGGACAUACACUAUAUUUAUUAUCCCAGAAAUUUAAAGUUAAAAUUGUGACUGUAGAUAAAAGAUGAUAGUAAAUCAUGGUGGUGAUAAUAAAAGGUUGUUUAAUUAAAAUGGCUACGUCUAGGUGAAACAUCCAUGUCAAAAUGUGGAUUAUAUACUGAUUAAUCAAAAUGGAUUUUCUAUUGCUUUGCUCUAACUUUUUUUUAUAUUGAUUAGCAUAUUAUUGGUAUUUUAGUAUUUUAUUACAUCACUUAUUGGAUUUGUGUAAGGUUGUUUGACAAAAUUAUUCGUAAGAUAGACCCAUUUGUGAGUGUGAUCUUGGGGGCUAGAAUGCUAGAAUAAACUUCUCAGCUAAUUAAUCAUCUCUGCACACACACCCCGCCACAGAAUUUCCAGAAAAAUUAAUUAGUUUAUCACCUAGAUGUAGCAUUAAUCAGUAUAGCAUCAUGGAUCACCUACAUGUCACAUAGCAAACAUGGAACCCUUACCCUCUACCAACGCAUCCUGGCUAUGGCCAACCUACACAGCCUGUGUAGAAUUUUAUAGAAGACUUUGUAAUUUUUUUCAAAAUUUUUACAUUUUUUUAAUUAAUUUCAUUUUGCAGGUCCGUAGACUUUUCUAUUUGAUCCUUACAGAUUGUAAUCCUUCAAGACCAGAGAUUUUAUGGCAGAAAAAUGCUUUGAAGAUUUGUGAUGAUUUGCCGCACAAACUAAUAACUACCUUUGGUAUUUCAAAUCCGUCUGACGAUGACGUUUGUGACUACGGAUUGUUUUUGUUGAAUGAAUACCUGUUAGAAAGUGGUAAAACAUUAUCUGAUUUUCCAGAUAUGCCUUUACCGUGUAAAGCAUGGAAUGCUUUAGUUACAAACCGUCUGAUUACAGAGCAUCAAAACUUAGUGUACCUAGGAUUAUAUGAGGAAGCUCAGACUAAAGUGGGAAGUUUCAAUAAUGAACAACUCCAUGCGUAUACAGCCAUUACAAAUUCAGUUCGUAAUGAUAGUGGACAAGUUUUUUUCUUGAGUGGUCCAGCUGGUACAGGAAAAACAUUUGUCUAUAAUAUUAUUCUCUUAACAUGGCACCAAAGCCGAAGUUUCGGAAGCGNNNNNNNNNNNNNNNNNNNNNNNNNNNNNNNNNNNNNNNNNNNNNNNNNNNNNNNNNNNNNNNNNNNNNNNNNNNNNNNNNNNNNNNNNNNNNNNNNNNNGAAGUUCUGGACGAUUCUGUUUGUGCAGUCACCAAACAAAGCAUCUAUGCAGAAUUAUUCAGAAGAGCGAAACUAAUUGUAUGGGAUGAAGUACCAAUGCAACAUCUGUUUUGCAUAGAGGCAAUUGAUCGUACACUACGGGAUAUUCGUGGAAAUUGUAAACCAUUUGGAGGAAUUACUGUUGUUCUUGGUGGUGACUUCAAACAAACCCUCCCUGUUAUUGCUAAAGGCACUAGGCAGGAUAUAGUUGGUGCAUCACUAACAAGAUCGCAUUUAUGGAAAAAUGUUCAAGUUUUAACUCUGGUUAAAAACAUGCGGCUGAACAGUAAUGAUGUUGAAAAUGUCAAGUUUGCAGAUUAUUUAAUUCAGGUAAUUUAAUUAUUCCCUCAAUAUUUUGAACUUUCAUACCGCGUGAAAUAUAUUUUGUAAUUACUUUGAAAUUCUACUUUAAAGAUAGGAACCGAUCCCACAGAAACUGUCGAAUUGCCUUCUGAGAUCAAUAGGUGUAAGAAUUCGUUGGAUCUCCUGUUCAAAGUUUACCCAAAUUUGAACGUUAAGGGAACAGCUACCGAUACUUACUUGCAAGAACGAUCCAUUCUCUCUGCUCGCAAUGAUGAUGUUGCUACUCUUAAUCAAUUAGCAAUAAAUCACUUUCCAGGAGAACUUCAUGAGUAUCUAGCUGCUGAUAAAGCCAUUGAAGAAAAUGAACCUAUCGAAAAUAGAGGAAAUAGUAUAUCAAGCGAGAAUAUGCAAGCACUUGAUCCAGCGAGUCUACCACCAUUCAAAUUACAACUUAAAGUUGGUUGCCAAUAAUUUUUCUCUGCAACCUUCAGCCAAGAGAUGGUUUAUGCAAUGGAACGCGUCUAAUGGUUGUCCAAUUUGCUACAAGAGUGUUCAAAGUUUACCCAAACUUCAAAUGGAAUUAUAAACACAAAAUGAGCCGUUCUUCCUCCAGUUAAUAAUAAUGAUACAAUUCCUGAUGAAGCAACCAUGAUUACGAUAUGACCUUCAUUUCUCAAUGUAUCCGCAAUAGUAUUAUAGACAAAUGUUUUUCCUGUACCAGCUGGACCACUCUAGAAAAAAACUUGUCCACUAUCAUUACGAACUGAAUUUGUAAUGGUUGUAUACGCAUGGAGUUGUUCAUUAUUGAAACUUCUCACUACAGUCUGAGCUUCCUCAUAUAAUCCUGGGUACACUAAGUUUUGAUGCUCUGUAAUCAGACGGUUUGUAACUAAAGCAUUCCAUGCUUUACACGGUAAAGGCAUAUCUGGAAAAUCAGAUAAUGUUUUACCACUUUCUAACAGGUAUUCAUUCAACAAAAACAAUCCGUAGUCACAAACGUCAUCGUCAGACGGAUUUGAAAUACCAAAGGUAGUUAUUAGUUUGUGCGGCAAAUCAUCACAAAUCUUCAAAGCAUUUUUCUGCCAUAAAAUCUCUGGUCUUGAAGGAUUACAAUCUGUAAGGAUCAAAUAGAAAAGUCUACGGACCUGCAAAAUGAAAUUAAUUAAAAAAAUGUAAAAAUUUUGAAAAAAAUUACAAAGUCUUCUAUAAAAUUCUACACAGGCUGUGUAGGUUGGCCAUAGCCAGGAUGCGUUGGUAGAGGGUAAGGGUUCCAUGUUUGCUAUGUGACAUGUAGGUGAUCCAUGAUGCUACACUGAUUAAUGCUACAUCUAGGUGAUAAACUAAUUAGUUUUUCUGGAAAUUCUGUUGCGGGGUGUGUGUGCAGAGAUGAUUAAUUAGCUGAGAAGUUUAUUCUAGCAUUCUAGCCCCCAAGAUCACACUCACAAAUGGGUCUAUCUUACGAAUAAUUUUGUCAAACAACCUUACACAAAUCCAAUAAGUGAUGUAAUAAAAUACUAAAAUACCAAUAAUAUGCUAAUCAAUAUAAAAAAAAGUUAGAGCAAAGCAAUAGAAAAUCCAUUUUGAUUAAUCAGUAUAUAAUCCACAUUUUGACAUGGAUGUUUCACCUAGACGUAGCCAUUUUAAUUAAACAACCUUUUAUUAUCACCACCAUGAUUUACUAUCAUCUUUUAUCUACAGUCACAAUUUUAACUUUAAAUUUCUGGGAUAAUAAAUAUAGUGUAUGUCCAACUAUUUUACUGUAAACGAUAGUCAGAGCAGAAACGGGCACCUACACCAAUAACCAGUAACAUUACAGAGAGCUUUUGCAUGUUUAGUGACUAUCUUACCAUUUUGUACUCAAUUUUUCAUGUUUAAUGACUAUCUGAUCUUGUUGAAUGGCUUCUUGACUAUCCAAAGUAAAAGAACAUUGUGAAACCAAGGUGUGUUGCUUCACAAAGGAGCACAUUCAGCAUGUGUUACCAUUCAGCAUCAAUGGACAAUAUUUUUCUUCAAACUCCUAGCCAAUGUUAUUGAGGGCUCCUUGGCAUUAGAUUCAUAUUAAUCAAUUAAUGACUAAGAGUAAAAUAGCCUCAUAUUUCUACAAUUUAACGACUUAGCUCAGAACAAAUAAUAGAGCAUGUACGUUUAUAUCAUUAUAUGACCGUGAAAACCAGAAAUGUUUCCUGCAAAUAAAAAGUUUAUUUUGUUGAUUCAUUUGACUGUGACUUGAACAUUUUCAGCCUAAUAAAUAGUCCAUAUUUGUUUUCCAACACUCAGAAUUAAUUUGGUAAACAAAUUUCUUCCUGUAUAGCAAAUUUUCAGCCAAACAUAUGUAAAACUCAAAUUUGUCUAAAAUGAUCGUAAACCCUUUCUUUUAUUCACUGUUGUACUCUGUUUGUCUUAUCUACUAUUUGGUCCUAGAAACCCAAACUGUAAUUAGUUGUUUUCCAAAACCUGAACUUCUUCUUCUUUUACAACUAAACUUGUCACAUUCUUUUCUAUUUACAAAUUUUAUGUAAAGUCCUUAUAAAUUAGAUGAUAUGUUCAAACGCAUAUAUCUAUUUGAUAAGUCCAAAAGAGUGGAAUAUAAAGUAGAUUUACCUUAUGGAUCUGCAAAUCAUUCCUUUUUAAAGCUCUUCAUUAGUAACGACAACAUAAACAUAUAUAAUCCCAAACCAAGCUCUAAGUCCUUUCAUUUGUGGCAUCUAUUUCCUUGCAGCAAUCACAAUUUAAUGCUUCAGUAAGGAUAGUAGAAUAGGUUCUUACCUGUAAACAUGACAAACACAUGAAAAUACUUAAGAUAAGUCAAUUCCUGUAUAAUUCUCACACAUAGUUGUCUGCAAAAAAUGAUAAAUGAAGACUGGCAUAUGAAAGCAAUGCAAGAAUGAAGUGGAACACAUUCACGAUACAUUAAUGUUGCUUACAAUAAGCAAAAUUCAAAUUUAUUUGAUAUAAGCUUACAUAUCCAUAUGUUGAAACCUCUGCUCUACAUAAACCAAUUUGCACUGGUGGCUUUCAUUCUAUUCUCAUUCAUAUUUUUUUUGUCUUAUUAGUCCCUAUACUCACUCUGCUACUAAUCAUCGCUGCCAUCCAAAUGACAAUAAGGUUCUUUUUUAAAUUAAUAAAACCAUAUUCCCACCUGGAUGGGUAGCUAACACUGACUACUGCAACUGGUAUGCUACUAUGUUAUCGACUGCUACUAUAUAAGUUGAUUAUACACAUUUACUAUAGAAGUUAUUACAUGUUAAUGUAUUUAUCAUAAAGCAAAUUGCUGAUCCAAUUUGAAUUUAUAGAUUAAUUCAACCAAAUAAAAAUCAAUACAUUGUUGGCCUAACCAAUUGCGAGGGUAUUGCAUUGUAUUGAUGCAGGUUGUGGCACAAAGUCAUAUUUACGAAACCAAGGCAUGGGAAAUUUUGAUUAGGCCAACAAACUCACAGACUAAUUUUACAAAACUGAAUAAAACUGAACAGGUGAAUACCAUCAUCAUUCUUGAUACUUUUGAGGCUUUGACCAAUUUAGAUAAUUUCUAAGAUAUAUAUUUGCAAGUAAAAAAACGAUAUAUAUUUGCAAGAUUUUAAGAGAUGGGGUAAGAUAGUUAUAUUAAAAAUCGAUCGUUAUUGUUUAAGAUAAAUUAAAAUUUACUAUGCUGAAAAUCGAUCGUUAUUGUUUAAGGUUUAAUGGCUAAUCUUUUGCUAAGCCCUUAUUAUUGCUAAACUGAUUAUUAUGUCAGAAAUUUAGAAAUUGGUUUAAAAGUUGGUUUGAUUAUAUAAUAAAGAGAGGUCGUUCAGAGUUUGAUUAAAGAACAAAGAUGGAGUUUGAUUGAAGGAGAAAAGGAGGUUUAUGAUAGGGGACUUACCUUGGCGAUGAUAAAUAGGAUUGAAGAUGAUGAUUAGGCUUAUAAUGGCGCUACCAUGGUAGGCAUAAUUAAUUUAAUUGUAUACUACAAUAAAAAUAUAAAUUUGGAUAAAUAAAAUAGUUUCAAUUAUAUGUUAGUACAGGGAUUAUCUUCUAUGAUAGAAAAAUAGAAAUUGAUAAAAAAGUAGAAAGAGAGGUUUGAUUGAAGGAGAAAUACAUACCUUUUGAAGAAAGUUGAUUGAUGACUGAUAUGAUGAUGUUUUAUUAAGGUUUAGUGAAGAAGAGAAAGGUUUGGUAGGGGAAGAAAAAAGGUUUAGUGAAAAAAGCAGUAAUCAAAAUUAUGCAAUUGGUAUAAAUUUUAAAAAUUUGAUAAAUUUUAAAAAUUUGAGAAGAGAAGAGAAGAGAAUGAGAUGGGGGCGGCUGGACGGGGAAGAAGUUUGAGAAAGACAGAAGUUGGGGAAGAGAAAGGGAAGAGAAAGAUGGGGACGGGGAAGAAAGAUUGGGGUUUUAAUCCUAGUCACACUAAAUAUUAAUCUUAGUCAUACUAAUUUAAUCCUAGUCACACUAAAUAUUAAUCCUAGUCAUACUAAAUUUUAGUCCUAGUCAAAUUAUGCACCCUUUGCUGAUUAUAAUUUAGAUUCAAAAACAAACUAAUUAAAUUGGUCAAGGUUUAUACUGCUAUAUAUACUUAGCAAUAUUUUGGUUAAUGUUACCGUCACCGAAUUUAAUUAGUUCAAUAGUGUACCUAAAUUUUUUAUUCAGGCAUUUAACAUUAGUUAGAUGAUCAAUAUUGGUGGUUAAUUUUUUGAAUUAAAUUUUGAAUUGAACUAAUAACAGAAUGCAUUAGAUUCUACAAUUUUAAAUUAGAAUUUGUUAAAGGUGGAUAAAUGCAUGUAACUAACUGUAAUAUAUAUAUAUAUAGGCUCUCAUACGGACCUGUUUAAUGCGGACCUGUGCGGACAUACCAAAAAUAAAAAGAGUCACGUGAGUUUUAAACGCUAAUGUGAUAUAUUGUACAGGGUUGAGUUUAACCCAGUUAGAAUCCGAUUAUGCGUCUGUUUCCUGUAUUUCUUUCUACUUGUAUCUCUUUCUCUCUCUCCCCAUUUCUAAGCUUCUCCUUCUGCACUUCUUCUAAUUAAUGGAAAUAUGUUAUCAACCAAAGUGAAAAUGAAUUAAGCAGAGUAAUAACAAGGUUACAUAGCCUGACAACCAAUUAAGCAGAGUAAUCAUGAAAUAUGGAAUCGUUUAUCAAACCAUAGUGAAUAAUUCGUCCUAGCAUUAUUGAAAGUACCUAUAAGGAACCCAUCCCUGGAUGGAUCGAAGGGCUCAAGUUUCAUAUUCAAUGGCUGCCAUAGCAAAUUCUGUUCUACAACUUGGAAUUUUUUAUUCAGAGAUCUAGAUGGUUGUGGUAUAUAUGUUUCUACUAGUACAAUUGACUCUCUGUUUUUUGGCAACCUACAGUUGACUAUCUAUCAAAUGAUUAGGGACGGCUCGACCUGACCCUAGUUACAUAUGUUUCUAGUAGAAUUGCUAACUAGUUUUUGGUUUUUUUUUAUUUCUCAUUGUCAGGUAUUCUUUUUGCAUGGAUAAUUUGGAACCAGGUAGUGAUUUAUUCAAAAUUAAUGGGAUUGAGAACAAUACAGAGUUGGAAGAAGUAGAGAUGAGGGAGAAUGCAGAGGAAAGUUUCAACUACGACAUUAUUCUUCCUAUAGCAAAUAAUCUAAAACCUCAUAUGGGCCAAGAUUUUUCUUCCCUAGAUGAUGUUUUAGAAUUUUACAAUGCUUAUGCAAAAGAAGCAGGAUUUAGCGUGCGAAAAUGGUCUGAGAAAAAGAAUGCAAAUAAGGAGAUAUUAAGAAAAGAGUAUGUUUGUUUUAAACAAGGGAAAUGUUCACUAAUAGAGGAUGCAGAAAAAUCAAGGCGUCGAGGUUCAUUAAGAGAGGGUUGUAAGGCAAAAUUAGCUGUUGCCAAGUCGGGAAAUGGUAAAUUUGCAGUUACAAUAUUUGUUGAGGGCCACAACCACACAUUGUCAACUCCAAGAAAAACUCAUCUUUUAAGAUCACAUCGUUUCAAUUGCCCAAAAAUGUUUGUCUCAGCAAUUUAGUAUGGUGAAUAUACCAACACAUCAGCAGUACAAUUUUCUUGGAGUACAGGCUGGAGGAUUUGAAAAUAUUGGAUGUAUUCAAAAAGAUUUGUACAAUUACCAGAGAGAUGUACGUAAAGAGUUGAAAGGGCAUGAUGCAAAAAUGUUUCGUGAGUACUUGAAGUCAGAAGAAGAGAAGAAUCCAUCAUUCACUUACACCAUUGAUGUAGAUGAUGAGCAAAGGAUUUGUCGGGUUUUUUGGGCAGAUGCGACCUCUAGAAAAGAUUAUGCAUUGUAUGGCGAUGUAGUUGUAUUUGAUACAACAUAUAACACCAAUCGUUACAAAUUGAUUUUGGCACCUUUGAUGGGAGUUAAUAAUCAUGGCCAAACAAUUAUCUUUGGGUGUGCAUUCUUAAGUGACGAAACCAUUCCUUCUUUUGUUUGGUUAUUCAAACAAUUUUUGCAAGCUAUGCCAGGUGAUGCUCCUAAAAUGAUUAUUACAGAUCAGGAUCCGGCUAUGACAAAUGCAAUUGCUCAGACUCUUCCAAAAACUUUUCACAGGUAUUGCAGUUGGCAUAUAUUGAACAAAUUUUCUGAGAAGUUGGAUGCUGUGAAAUAUAGUAUUUACUACAAAAAGUUUUAUAAUUGUAUAUGGCACUCAAAAAGUCAAGAAGAAUUUGACUUGGUCUGGUUAGAUCUUGUACAGAAAAGUGGUCUUCAAGACAACAAAUGGCUAGAAUCAAUGUUUGAAAUUCGUUUGAAGUGGGUGCCUGUAUACACAAGUCAUGUAUUCUCACCUGAAAUGUCAAGCAGCCAAAGGGCUGAGAGUUCUCAUUCAUUCUUCAAGAAAUAUGUUCAAGAGGAAAAUUCAUGGUUCAGUUUGAUAGAGGACUUCAAAAACAGCGUCACGAAGCAUUGAUCGUAGAUAACAAAGAUGUGAUUGAGAAACCUAAAUUAAAAAUGUUCCACAAUAUUUUGGUGCAAAUGGUUGAUAUUUACACGAACGAGAUAUUUUUCAAAUUCCAAAGAGAACUGUUGGAGAGCUUCAAUUACAAAUUUCAGAUUAUCAGUGAGACAGAUACUCUUCGAUUAUAUAAGACUCAAAGAAAAAAAUCUUGAGACAGAUAAAGGGAGACAGGUUUCAUAUGAAAAGGAUUUGGAUCAUGUUUCUUGCUCAUGCAAUAAAUUUGAGAGCAUGGGCAUCCCAUGUCGACAUAUUUUGGCAUAUUUGCACAAAUAUACAGAUAUUUGGAGUAAAUCUACAAAAUCCAAAACCGUCAUAGAUCAUGGUGGUAUGGAGAUCGUUGAUGACAGAACUUAUUUCUUGGAACGAAGUAGAUUAAUUCAAUGUUGUUUGGGUGUGGUAAAUAAGGCCUUGACCAAAACAAAUUCUGAUAGAUGCCUUGAGUAGUGCUGAAGAGAAAAUUAACUUACUCAUUGCUUCUAGUGGAAGUGAAAAGAAAGAUAAUUACACUGUUGAUUACAGUACAAGUGGGAAGAGAAAGAAAAUGGUUGAUUGUGUUACAGAUGUUGAAAUGACUGAACAAGCAAAUUGUUACCGUGAACCAAAUCAAGCAAGGGCAAAAGGAUGCGGUAAAAGGUUUAAAGGUGGCAAAGAAAAGGCAACAGGAAGCGGAAAAAAAAUCGAAGGAAGGCUAUGUAAGGGAUGUAAUCAACGAGGAGUAGGACAUGAUAUAAGAACUUGUCCGAAACUUGCAGGUGUUUCACUUUCACAACCGUGAAAGAUUAAAGGUAUAUGUGCUUGAUGAGUUUUUUGUUAUGAUUUAAUCCUAUUUGAUUAAGUUACGAUAAUCCUUUAUUUCUAAUGGUUCUUUAAUGUAAUAUUUUUUUGUUUUGCUCAGGUGCAAAGACAUGGCAAAACCUAUGGAUGUGGGUGAGAAAGAAAAUGAAAAAACAUUGAAGACUAAUUAUGUUUAGUUUGUGUUCAGUUUUGAACUUUGCAGAGAUUUGAUUUCGAGAAUUCUUUUGUUGUUCAUGUGACUUUAAGAAGGCUUUGCCAUAUUGUCCAAUAUUGUUUUCAUCUGUUUCAAUUAAUGAAUGAUCAGUUUUAGUAACAUUUCAAAGCAUUUUCAUUAUCUCUUUAAAUGAAUAGCACAUUUUAUCCCAUGUAGAUGGAUGGAUUUCUUGAUCAGGCAGUUGUGAAAGGAGCGCUUGAACGUAGGCCACUGCUGAACUACAAUAGAUUAAUUGGGGACUGUAGCGAUGUAGCCUGGAAGGUGUUAUCUUACACAUCACUACAACAGUUUGGUGUAUCUGGAAAGCUAGCUAGGAACAAUAUUAUCUUCAAUGGGGAGGAAAUGGACAUGGACAAACUAGCAAAGUUCAUUAAACUGACUGUCUUGGGUUUGGAUGGAGGUGCCUAAAGAUGGUGAACUGGCAGCUUGCAACAGGGGCAGCAUGGUAAGGUUUCUAAGAUGGAGUGCAUAUUUGUCUGUAAUUGUAAGGUCAGAGUUUGUAUUUGUUUUUGUAUCUUCGCAACCUGCUACAAAUGCCUCAACAACGUGUAAUUGGUUUGUGAUUUUGAGAUUAAUAAAAAGAAAUUGGUUUGUAAUCGCUGAUUUAAUGUGACCACCAUCAAUUCUAAAUAGUGCAGUAAACAAGGACAAAGAUCAUUCCACCAAAAGAGCAAGCAAUACCCAAAACACCACCACAACUUCACAAGGAUCUUUUCCAAAUGACAAUAGCUAUUAUAAUAUUGAGGAAGAGAAGGGAAUCUAUAAACUUAGCUAUUUAAUCUCUAUAAAAAAAAAUCCAACUAUCCAUUGAUAUGCUUUCAAUUAAUAACUAGCAAUAAAGAAUCUUAGUAGAUUCGAACCACUAUCUCAUGAGAUGUAUCAUCUAGAAGUUGCUCAUAUUCUCAAGUGCUCUACCAUUUGACCUAAAGAUCCAAUUAAAUCAUAUAAAUAAACUAAACACACAGAAACAAUGUUUUCUUACUCUACUCUUAGUGUUAUACCAUUAUACAAGGUACUAGCAAUAAAAAGAGGAUGGACAUACCUUUGGAUAGAAUCUGAUUCACAGAUGGUAAACUGUCUUGGUCUAUUAAGAACAUAUGGUAAAGGGUUGCUAAAAAGUUUAUUUACCUGCAAAUGUCUUCGAAUUAAAGGAAAGCAUUUUGUCAAGUAUCUGUUAUACAUCUUCUGCAACACAAAAUAAACUCACACCCCAAAACUACUACAUAUCAUCAAUAGUUGCUACAAAGACUCUCAAAACAAACAAGAUCAAUGGCAAAACCAAACUCUACCUUAAGAUAUGAUAAUUGUAGGGGUACUACAUACUCCGACCAAUCAAAAGCAGCCACGUGGCACAGUCACCAAUCUGUCAGGUCGCCACAAUCUCAACCCGCUAGCAGCUCGACUAAAGCGACCAGACUACACAACGACCAGCGACCUGCUAUUCACACGUGCUCCUAUUCAAUGCACAGAAUAUUCUCAUCAGUUACAGAAUUAAUUCACAAGGAUGAUCCUCGCGCGUUACACAUUUAAUCAUCAUUAUGAUGGCGGAGAAUCUGCAAGAUCCACGAUCCACGCCCUUCCAUCUUCUAUAUAAACAGAACUACGAUGGCUUGAUCUCUAAGUUCAAUUCCCCCGAGCUAGAGUACGUAGGCAAUCUCGAUCUCAACGAGGUGCAGCCACCCCAAUCUCCAAUAUCCCCAUUUGGUCAAGUCUCCAUAAACGACCUGACCCUGUUGAUGCAUUAAUCUAGAAAUAGGUUAAUACAUUUGGCGCCGACUGCAAGGAAUUCGAUAUACUCGAAAACCCAAAACCCUCCCACCCUUAAAUCAAAAUUCACUCGAUCCAAUGACUAAUCAGGAAGUCACCAUCCAAGAUCUGCAGGCACAAAUUACACGUCUGCAGGAAGAAAAUGAGCGUCUAAAAGCCGCACAAACCAACCCCCAGCAAGGGGAAAAUAGCGGACUUGGAGUCAUCCCUGCUGAUGAUUCCAACCAAAAGUUCGAGCAACUCAGCCAGCAGCUGGCGGAGUUCAAAGCAUCUCAGGCUCUCCUUCACCGGUCCAAGAGCCACACUGCAGAGCAACUUGCUGUGCAGUCCCUUCAACAAUUCCAGGAGUCUCCUUUCUCCAACGAGAUCCUGGAACAUGAUCUGCCGAACAAGCUGAACGCCCCAAAGUUCGACCAGUAUGCAGGAGUCGGAGAUCCAACCGACCAUGUCAAGGGAUUCCGAAAGUCCCUUCCUCUGAUAAAGGAGGAUCAUCUUUUGUGUUUGCUGUUUCAGUCCAGCCUCACCGGACCAGCUCUCGACUGGUUUCAUCGACUGAAGCCAGGAUCCAUCAGCUCGUUUGCAGAGCUUGAAAAACAAUUCGUCAUUUUCUACAUCCACAAUAAGAAGCGCCCUGUUACCAUUGACUCCAUCUUCAAAGUCAAGCAGAAGGAUGGUGAGUCACUUAGCGUUUUCUUUGCACGUUUUAAAUCUGAGUUACAUUCCAUUCAGGAUUUCGCAAAGGAGCAUGAGACCUUUGCAACUAUUGCUUUCUCUCACGGACUGAUCCAAGGGUCCGACCUGCACAAGUCUCUGGCAAUGAAGAGACCUUCAUCACUUGACGAGCUCUACCUAAAGGUAGAUCGUUAUAUUAAGCUAGAAGAAGCCCUCACUUGGAGGGAGAAGAACCAUGUAGUCAGCAACAUUGAGGCUGGCUCAAGCAAACGACCUCGAUCAGAAGGAAAGAGGUUCAAAGCUAAGUCGCUGCCUACCGAGCAGCGAGAGUAUCACCGGUUUACGCGACCAGCCGGUUAUAUCUUCGAAAGGAUCAAGCACAACCAUUGGUGCAAAAUUCCUGCCUUCACACAGCUGGAGGAUACAUCUGGUCGCCCGUACUGCAAAGUACAUAAAGUACGGUGUCAUCAGACUGAUGAUUGUCGCGUCUUGAAGCGCGCACUUCAAACCUGGGCCGAUGAGAAACGGCUCAAUAAUUGGAUCCUCGGAAGGAAUGAGGAGUCCACAGCCAAGCGAAUGAGGAAGGAAUCCAGAACCCCUCCUCGUUCACCUAAGCGGGGUCAAAGCAAGGCCAGAGCGACCUCCGCAAGCCCAGCACGCAGCAGAGGGCGUAGCCUCUCCCAGCGCUUAGGUCCAACAGGCGACCUACGCGAUCAUAUAAACAAGAAGGUCGCAAACAAGGUUGACAGCGACAGCGACUCGGACAGUCAUGUGGUCUACAUGAUUGACGAAUCUCAUCACACCCCUGUCUCUAGGGACAAAAAGAGACGAGUGGAACAUCUCCACCAUGUCUAUUCUAUCAGUGGCCGAGCAGCUCGCUUCAACAUCCCUGCCCGGCAAGAGACUGACAUCACCUUCACUGAGGACGAUCUCAAUAAGGUCGUUACUCCACACAACGACGCCCUAGUCGUUGAACUAAGAAUUGCGGACUACACAAUCAAGAGGGUAUUCAUCGACCCUGGGGCUUCAUGUAACAUUCUCAUGUACCGAACCUUCAAAGACAUGAGGCUGCCCGAUUCAGUGCUCAUCCCAGACUUCACACCGAUCCUUGGCUUCAAUAGUUCAAGGGAAGACCCUAAGGGGGAGAUCCUUCUGCCCGUCACUGUAGGCAGAAGGGAAGAUAAGGUCGUUGUAACCAGCAAGUUCAGCGUCCUAAAUAUCGCAAGCAAGUACAAUGCGAUUCUGGGUCGAAAGUGGGUCCAUGCUAUGAGAGGAGUGCCGUCAACUUACCAUCAGGUAUUCCGCUAUCCCGGCCCUUAUGGGAUAAUGGAACUCCGCGGCAAUCAGAACACCGCACAAGAAUGCCACGGUGUUAUUGAAGCUGUCCCAUCGUCAAAGCAUCCACCUCUGGAGUCAAGGAUGGUGAUGUCAAAGGAAAGAGCCUAGUCCCAACAGAGGCUCAGGAGGGCAACAAAUCAAAGAGCCCAUCCAAGGAAAAAGUUGAACCUGCUAAAUAGCAAUUACAGAAGGAGCAAGCGAGCUCCCCCAAGCUGAGUCUCGGAAGCACCGAUCUAGGCGUCCGAGUUAACAUUGGGUCAGAUGAGGACCCAAGGUAUGUCUAUGUAGGUUCAGAAAUGGAAGAAGAUAAGUUCGCUCAUUUUGUAAAUUUUCUUUCAAUGAAUAAAGAUGUUUUUGCUUGGUCGUAUAUCGAUAUGCCCGGAAUAGAUCCAUCAAUUGCAUGCCAUAGGCUACGGGUCAAUCCCAAUUAUCGACCUGUGAAGCAGAAACCAAGGAGACUUGCUCCCAAGUUUCACGAAGCCGUCAAUGAAGAGAUCAAUAGACUCAAACAGGUCGGCUUCAUCAGAGAAGUCGAUACUCCAGACUGGCUAGCCAACAUAGUCCCAGUCCUAAAGAAGAAUGGGAAAACAAGGGUCUGCAUCGACUUCACGAGCUUGAAUAAAGCUUGUCCUAAAGAUUCAUUCCCACUGCCACGAAUCGAUAGGCUAGUCGAUCAGACAUGCGGUUUUGAGCUAUUGUCAUUUAUGGACGCAUACUCAGGGUACAAUCAGAUCCCAAUGUACGAGCCUGAUCAAGAAAAGACCUCUUUCACGACUGAGCAAGGUAUUUUCUGUUACAAAGUCAUGCCAUUCGGGCUAAGAAAUGCAGGGGCGACCUACCAAAGACUGGUCACCAGAAUGUUCGACGACCUCCUAGGUCGAACAAUGGAAGUCUACAUUGAUGACAUGCUAGUGAAGAGCGACAAAGAACGAGAUCAUUUGUCCAACCUUGACCAGGCAUUCCAAAGAUUAAGGCAAUACAGAAUGCGUCUUAAUCCAGAAAAGUGUCUGUUCGGGGUCGCAUCAGGAAAAUUCCUAGGCUACCUAGUCACCAGACGAGGCAUCGAAGCAAAUCCCGACCAGAUCAGAGCCCUGAUCGACAUGCCAAGUCCAAAAACAAAGAAACAAAUCCAGAAGCUCAACGGCAUGGUUUCAGCUCUGAACAGAUUCAUCUCCAGAGCAUCAGACAAAUGUAGACCAAUGCUUCAUAUCUUAAAGAAGGGGGCUACAUAUGAGUGGACAGAAGAGUGUGAGAAAGCCUUCGAUGAUCUCAAGGCAUAUCUGUCUACUCCACCAGUUCUUACAAGACCAAUAGAUGGUGAUGUACUUGGCGUUUACCUCGCAACAUCAGAUUUUGCGAUAAGCGCAGUACUUUUCAAAGAAGACAAUCAAGUGGAACGUCCUAUCUACUUCACAAGCAAAGUCUUACAGCAGGCUGAAAUAAGGUACACACCUCUGGAGAAGUUAGCAUUAGCAUUACUUUACGCUGCAUGCAAAUUCAAGCCUUAUUUCCAAGCACACACUGUAAAAGUAAUCACCGAUCAGCCAUUACGCCACAUACUAGAAAAGAAAAACAAAACAGGUCGUAUGGCUCGAUGGGCAGCCGAGCUGGGUGAUUACACUUUCGAGUUCGUUUCAAGACAGGCCGUCAAGGGUCAGGUCGUUGCAGAAUUUUUGGUAGACUAUCCAGCAGAAGAUGUCAAUUGGGAACCUGAACCCGAAACAAGGCAAGUCCAAGACAACCCCCCAGACACUUGGCAGCUGUAUGUAGAUGGUUCCCAUAACUCCAAUGGAAGUGGAAUAGGUAGUGUGCUAAUCUCUCCUGAAGGCUCACAGCUCGAAAGAGCAACUCGUCUGGACUUUUCGACCUCAAACAACGAGGCCGAAUACGAAGCACUCAUACAGGGCCUAAAAAUGGCCAUCGACUUGCAAGCAGUUCGUCUCAAGGUGUACAGCGAUUCACAGUUGGUAGUCAAUCAGAUUACCAGCAAUUACCAGAUCAAUGGGGUCAACCUCAUCAGGUAUGCUAGCAAAGCAAAGGAGCUCAUCAGCAAGCUCAGCUAUUUCACAAUCGAGCAUAUACCUAGAGACGACAACAGACAUGCUGAUUCACUGGCAUUUCUAGCAUCUAAGAUCGACUCAGACAGACCGCGGGCCCUAACUAUAGCAAUCAACUCACAGCCCGCAUAUCUCUUCAAGGAAGAAGAUAUUAAUCAAAUUUCCGAUCUACUUGAAACAACUCCAGCAGACAUCCAGGGGACUUGGAUGGAGCCUUUCAUGGUUUAUCUGCAAACGGGUGCCCUACCAUCCGACAAAAAAGAAGCCAGUCGAUUGCUGCAUAAAGUCACAAUGUACAAAAUCCAUGAGGGCAAACUAUUCAGAAAAUCAGCAACUGGAUUGUUAUUACGAUGCUUGAUCCCAAAGCAGGGGCAGAUGAUAUUUCAAGAAAUCCAUGAAGAUGAAUGUGGAAACCAUUCCGGUGGGCGUACCUUAGCCCAUAAAGCAAUCUCUCAAGGAUACUUCUGGCCAAGAAUGAAAGAAGAUGCAAAGAAAUUUGUUUUGAAGUGCAAAGAAUGCCAGCGGUUUGCUGAUAAGCAACACCAGCAUCCAAAUGAUCUCAUCAACAUCACUGCACCAUGGCCAUUCCACAUGUGGGGGCUAGAUAUCAUGGGUCCCUUCAUCAAAGAAAAGAAGUCGGAGAAGAGGUUCGUUCUAGUAGCCGUCGACUAUUUCACUAAAUGGGUGGAAGCUGUUGCCUUAACCAAUGUCACACAGGCAGAUGUCCAGAGAUUUAUGUGGGAAAAUAUCAUCACAAGGUUCGGGCUACCUAAACGAGUAGUCACAGACAAUGGCACUCAGUUCGUUGGGAAGAAUAUCAAAAAAUUCUACGACCUCUGGAAAAUCGAGCAUUCAAGGUCAACUCCUAGGUACCCGCAAGCCAAUGGCCAGGUUGAAGCUGCAAAUCGACAGAUUCUAACCAAUCUGAAGAAGAAGCUCGAAGACCAGCAUGAUCAAUGGCCACAACAAUUGGAGAACAUCUUAUGGGCUUAUAGAACAACUCCUCGCACAUCCACAGGGAUGUCACCAUUCAGUCUUUGCUAUGGAGUAGAGGCCGUUAUUCCCACUGAAUUAACAUACGGAACGACCAAAUCUCUUCUGGUCGACACAGAGCUCAACAAUCAGAUCUGGUCGUUUGGAGUCGACCUCCUCGAAGAGCGACGUAACCACGCCACUAUAAAGCUCGAGCAAUACCAACAGAGACUCAAGCGAGCUUAUAACAAAGGCGUGCGACCAAGAACUUUCCAGCCAGGGGAAUUAGUCUUAAGAAGAAUGUUCAGUAAUAAAAGAAAGGACACUAUCGGCAAACUCAACGCCAAUUGGGAAGGUCCUUACAUUAUCACAAAAGUCCAGAGCAACGGUUCUUAUCGUCUUCAGACACCAGAAGGGGAGAUCGUUAAGAACCCGUGGAAUGCUUUCCAUUUAAAGAAAUUUUAUCAGUGAAAUGUAAGCAUCCAUUCAUUGCAUUUCAAUCUAUAAAUUCAAUUUUGCCUUCAUCUCUGCUCAAAUAUGAAUGGCUACUAAAGGUCCAAUCCCUCGACCUACAAAUUAUCAAUAAUCUAGUCCCUUUGAUAAUUUAAAAAUUUGUUAAGUUAAAUCACUAGCAACUUAACUUGGUGCAUUGGUCUUUCUCUUCCCACGACCCAAGCACAAUUAUGUUAAAUGCGACCUCAACCCCCGAUCAGGUCGAACAAAUGUCACACAUUGUUUGCAAGUCAAUUCAAGCAGACAAAACGACAUAAUCAACAAUGCAAGGUAAAUAGUUGAAUUAACUUUUACUUUAUGAGAUUUUAACAAUUACAGGUACAACCAAAAUAGAAUCAAGGCAUACAAGAGGAACUGUUUCAGUGCGUCCUGCUUGCAGCCAUUCAUCUCGUCUACCUGCCUUCUGAACGAGCUACCAGGACUUCCUGGAAACUAGCUGGCCAAAAGGAAUCCAUACAAAACUCAUCGAAGUAAAAACUGAUUACUGACACCAAGUCCAAGAGACAAGAAGUUCUCCAAUCAAGCUUUCAAAGAUUACAAGGGGGGCUCUCAAGAAUAAGCUAUGGAAGACAUAACGCAACAACAACGAGUAUGCAGGAAGCAAACCUUGCACAAGGUUACCCAAUACAAGAAAGGGAAACCAAGGUUACCCAAUACAAGAAAGGGAAAACAAGGUUACCCAAUACAAGAAAGGGAAACCAAGGUUACCCAAUACAAGAAGGGGAAAACAAAGUUACCCAAUACAAGAAAGGGAAACCAAGGCGAACUCAUUGCUGCACAGACUGGUCGCCUAAAGCAUCAGCUUCAAUAAGGGCUCCAGCGACCUGGUCACUAGGGCCCAUCGAGGUGUCCUGAGCUGGCGCCAAAGUCUCUUCAACACCACCUCGCGUCUCCUCUCCUUCGGGCGAUCCCGUCAUAGCUUGGACCAGUUGCUCGCAGUAGGCCUUCCACGCUGCUUCAUUCUCCUGACAAACUCUCUGCCAGUACUCAACAGAAGAUUGGGAAGCAGCCUCACGUUCCCUCAACUGUUCCUUCAAAGCUGCGACCUGGGCAUCCCUGUCCUUGACCUUACACUCAGCAACGGCAGCAAUGUUCCUCGCCUGCUCGAGCUUCUCAUUGAGAGACUUCAACUCAAUUUCAGCUUGAGCACCAAUCUCAGCAACCAGACGCACCUCCUGGAAGCUGGCAUUGAGCUGCAACCACCAAACGAAAUUUAGCACAAAUACCAAAGCAUAAUCAAAACAAAUACGACUUACAAUCAAACUCACCAAAGAAAGUGCCCCGUUUAUCUUUGAGCAGGUCACCAGCAGAGGCUGCGACUUCACCAUUCGGGCAUCAGCAUCCAGGACGAUACCCUCAUUCACAGCCCGGGCAACACAAGGGUCAUCAAUAGCACUGUCGUUGUCGUACACGACAUGCUUCUCUCCUUGCCCGUCCAAGUAAUCGAACGGCCCAGGGCGGAAUUCAGACAGAAUACCUUUGCCUUUCUGCGAAGGCCGAACAGCAGUCUUCCUGGACAUCACAGACAAUCCAGGAGACGUCGCAACCAAUGAAGAAACAGGAGUUGGCAUAGCUGGGAACUCCAUCAGCUUAAGGUUCCCUGAGAAGGACCUCUUCUUCCCAGCCAAUGCACCAACCUUAGGAAGUGAGGGGGGUGGACCUGAGACUGGAGGGCUCGCCACGACUCCAGCCUGGCGAGAACUACCUACAGCCCGCUCCUUCUCAGCAGGCAGCUCCCUCUCCACAGAUCGUUCCUGCACCACAGGUCGAUCCUGCACCACAGAUCGUUCCUGCACCACAGGUCGAUCCUUCUCAACAGGUCGCUCCUUUUCCGACCUUCUAGGAGCACCAACAGAACGCUCUCUAUCAGCUUGCUUCGAGCUACCACUUGCUCGUUCUCCUUCACCAGCUCGCGAACUACCACCAGUUCGCCCACCACUAACUUUGUGCACAGAAGACAUGUAUGCUUUCUUCAAAGCUUUCCUCCUCUUGAGCUCGUCCAACACAGUUUUUGGACCACCUUUAGGAAUGAAAUGCUCCUUUAGGUGAGGCAGAAACGAGAUCUUCCGCUCGUCAGUCAACUUACCAAAGCAGUUCAGAGCAGACUGCAGAUCGUUCUUUCUAAGAUGAUCGUCCCGAAUCGCUGCAGCAAAAAAUACAAAGACAUCAAGUUCAGAAACAGGAAGACGAACUAUCAUCAAACUACAGACAACUAACUUACGAUCAUCAUUCCUAAUCGUAUGACGCAACUGGACAUCCCCAUCAACAAUCGGACCAGUGAACAGCAUGGGAUCUUUCCACCAUGGCUCGCUACUCACUGGAUAAAUCAAAGGCAAACGUUCUGGCCUAACCUGCAUGUUAUAGCCAGAAAGUUCAACCUUCGAAGAGCGUUUGAAGCAAAAGUGGUUCAAUACAUCUUCCGCUGUAAUGUUCCACCUAUGCAACUUGUUGAGGUCGUCAAUUACCCUCAUGUUCCGCCAGAAAUUACCAUUCAUCUGACAGGGGGCUCGCCUAAUGGCAUUCAACAGGUCGACAACCAAUUCAGACAACGGCAACCUCAACCCAGCACGGAAUUGGUUCAACGUCAAUACAGUUGAUGAAGGAUUAUUAGGUCGGUAAUCAGGAGAAAGUAAGCGGUCCCCAAGAAACCUUAUCUCUAAAUUCCUAAUCGACCUAAACUUGUAAUGACUCCUAACAGCAAAAUGCCUAUGUACAUAAUUCAUAUUCACAAUCCUACACAUUCUACCAUCAUCAUCUUCAACCAUCUCAUCAUCAGAAGAAUCUGGACCAUGGGAACCACUACUCUGGGGGCUAUCUACAUUCUCAUCGGGAACGGGAGACGGAGGGUCAGAAUGAGUACUAUCAGACUCAUACUCUUCAAUUCCAUCAUCACUCAAGUGGUCAUUUUGAGAAUCACUACCCUCAGACAUUACUCUCAAGCAAUACAGAAGACAACAAACGAAGAAAAAGAAAGAAAAUAAACAAUCAGAGAAAAGAAAAGAGAACAAACCUCAUGAGCUCUCAAAGUUCUUCAGUUCGCAAGGCAAAAGCGGCAGCAAUUCAAAUAAAGGCAAGAUGAGUAAACCUACAUCAACGUAACUACAGUUUAUAUACUGUAGCUCGAGAAUUUCUAGCUCUGUGUCGACCAAAAGAGACUUGGUCGUUCCAAAUGUUAAUUCAGUGGGAAUAACGGCCUCAACUCCAUAACAAAACGGUUCGCAUCCACCGUUAGAUUGAUCCACGUGCAAGACAGAUAGCAAAUCAGGCAAUACGUGCAUCAGUUGCCAUAAUCACACAUCUAACUGCUCGAGGAAACUCCUCCACUUCCCCGUAACAGCGCCAUGAUUACCACAGACAGCGCUGCAUGACUGCCACGUCAGCAACUUCAAAAAAGCAAACUACAAAUCAGCAUCGAUAAGAGUAAUUAGUCUUUUCAGCCCGACUCUCAUAGUCGACCUAAAAAGAGGGGGCUUAUGUAGGGGUACUACAUACUCCGACCAAUCAAAAGCAGCCACGUGGCACAGUCACCAAUCUGUCAGGUCACCACAAUCUCAACCCGCUAGCAGCUCGACUAAAGCGACCAGACUACACAACGACCAGCGACCUGCUAUUCACACGUGCUCCUAUUCAAUGCACAGAAUAUUCUCAUCAGUUACAGAAUUAAUUCACAAGGAUGAUCCUCGCGCGUUACACAUUUAAUCAUCAUUAUGAUGGCGGAGAAUCUGCAAGAUCCACGAUCCACGCCCUUCCAUCUUCUAUAUAAACAGAACUACGAUGGCUUGAUCUCUAAGUUCAAUUCCCCCGAGCUAGAGUACGUAGGCAAUCUCGAUCUCAACGAGGUGCAGCCACCCCAAUCUCCAAUAUCCCCAUUUGGUCAAGUCUCCAUAAACGACCUGACCCUGUUGAUGCAUUAAUCUAGAAAUAGGUUAAUACAAUAAUAAAAAUUAAAAUAAAAUUCAAAAUACCUGUAAGUUGUAGAUACAACUAUACGACCGAAUCCUUAUUGAAGAAUCAGAGAUUGCGAUAAGAAAAGAACGGCAGAACAUACGAAACUGUUUAAGCUAGGUUAAAACUUGAGUCACAAAGAAGGAAGAGGAAGAGAAGAAGAAGAAGAGAGAGAGAGAGAGAGAGAGAGAGAAUCAAAUUACGUGAAUGAGGUUUUCUUUGUUUUUGCGCGAAAUAAGAAACUGGGUUUCAACUGGGUUAAAAAAGACCCAAUAGAGAAACCAUAUUUACGAAACAUAAAUUGGAGAGCACGUGAUUUUACUAGGUGGGUCCGCACCUGAGCCUCCCUAUAUAUAUACUGAGAGGCUUCUAUGGGGACCGUCCGUAUACGAACUUAGAUAUUCUUAGAAACAUCACGCGCCCUCUUUACAUUAUUAUGUAAAUCUGGUUUCUCUACCGGGUCAGAAAUAAACCUUCUUAAACCGGUUAUAUUCUUCUUCUCUCUCUUCCUCUCUUCGUGUCUUUGACUCUUUUCUCUGUUAACUGAUAUCUCUCCGUCUCAAUCUUAACAGAAAAUAGAAAAAAUUAUAAAAUAUAUGUUUCAUUUAAUUGUUGCCGCCACUGAGUUGUUCUCCCAAAUUGUUGAAAUUUAAAAGCUUGAAUGAUGAACGAAAAAAGAAAAAAGAAUUCUAAGUUUCGAAGGUUCACUCUUAGUUUUGGUUAUAGGUGGAUUGUUUAAGAGCCAAAUUACAAGCUUAAUCAAAAUCCCAUACACAAGUCAGCAUUAACAAAUCCCAAGAAGAAGCCAUAUUUGUCUAUUUCUCUGCAAACCAUAAUUUUGCGGAAGAAGAUGUGUGGUUUUCUAAAUCGAUGAAAUUGCAGAAAUUUCUAGAAGAUGGUGGAGGAGAUCGAAGAGAUUUUAUGGUCUUGUGUUCUUAUAGAUUCUGAAGUCUAUUGAUUGUUAUUAGAAUAUGCUUGAUAUUCACUAUGGUUUGAUAAACGAUUCCAUAUUUCAUGAUUACUCUGCUUAAUUGGUUGUCAGGCUAUGUAACCUUGUUAUUACUCUGCUUAAUUCAUUUUCACUUUGGUUGAUAACAUAUUUCCAUUAAUUAGAAGAAGUGCAGAAGGAGAAGCUUAGAAAUGGGGAGAGAGAGAAAGAGAUACAAGUAGAAAGAAAUACAGGAAACAGACGCAUAAUCGGAUCCUAACUGGGUUAAACUCAACCCUGUACAAUAUAUCACAUUAGCGUUUAAAACUCACGUGACUCUCUUUAUUUUUGGUAUGUCCGCACAGGUCCUCAUUAAACAGGUCCGUAUGAGAGCCUAUAUAUAUAUUACAGUUAGUUACAUGUAUUUAUCCACCUUUAACAAAUUCUAAUUUAAAAUUGUAGAAUCUAAUGCAUUCUGUUAUUAGUUCAAUUCAAAAUUUAAUUCAAAAAAUUAACCACCAAUAUUGAUCAUCUAACUAAUGUUAAAUGCCUGAAUAAAAAAUUUAGGUACACUAUUGAACUAAUUAAAUUCGGUGACGGUAACAUUAACCAAAAUAUUGCUAAGUAUAUAUAGCAGUAUAAACCUUGACCAAUUUAAUUAGUUUGUUUUUAAAUUUUGUUAUAAUAUCAAAAUGAUGAAUUCUUUAUUUAAGCAAAAUAUCUCAACUACAAAAAUGCUACCUGCUAUGGGUGAUCACUUGUGGGAAGAGAAAAAGAGAUAUGUGACCAAUUUGCCUUGCAAAAGAUAUUCUACAAAGAAUGUAUCGAUUCGAGCAAGUAGUUCGACUUCAGAUUUAGAUAUGUAUGCACCUAUAUCAAAAAUGCGAGACCACCUCUCUUCUUUGCCCAAUUCGGGUAGAGAAAAAACGGUGAACUCAGAUGGUCUUGGAAUUGUGAAAUUUCUUACAGGAAAGGUGUUUCUGAUAACUGGUGCGACUGGUUUCUUAGCCAAAGGUAUAGAUCACUGAAUUAAUUUUCUUAAGAUGUUUUGCUUUUAUUUUUCUGUUACAUAAUUGUAGUACAUUUAUUUUUCUGAAGCUUUUUUUUUAUUUCCUAAAAUGCCAUCAUACAUAGAUUUCUUUAUUGCGAUAUUUAAUGAUGUGCCGAAUUUACCAAUUGCAAAUAUCGUACAAUAUCGCGAUAUUUUGAUACUUACUCAUCAACUACUAGAAAGCAAAGCAGCUAUGAAAGCUUCUUUGAAACUCUCUGUAUAAACGAUAAUUCCAUCUCAAAAACCCAUUUUUCUUCGUACCCUUUCCUAAUUUUCAACUACCCAACUCGUCUCUUUCGUCAAAUUUCAUGAACAUAACAAAAUUUAAUCCAAGUUUAUAUUUUUUUUUCCCAAAAAUUCAACUAAAUUGAAAAAUCCAUUGGUGAAAAAAGUGAAUUUGUAGAAGAAGAGAGGAAUUUUUUUUUUUUUUUUUUAUUAAUAUUCAAAUUCUAAGUGACUCUUGAUCACGGUGAGAAAAUUCCAAAUGCUAAGAAGGUUUUGGGUAUGGGAAUGGGAUAGAAAUGAAGAGAAAUGGCAAGUGUUUGAUGAUAAGUGGGUUUUUUCAUCAAAGUUCUUUCCUCAAACACUAGUAAGUAUGGUUCCUUGGUAAGUCUGGUUUUUCGAUUUCGUAUUAUUUAUUUUUUUUGUCGUAAAUUUCCCUUAAGAGUAUAUCUCUGCAAAAAUCUAUGUGCUUUAAUAUUCUUGAACUUUUUAUAUUCUGUAUAAAAUAUAAAUAGAUAGAGAGUGUUGCAUAUAGUUGUUUGUUUUGGUCUUGAUUUAUUUUUAUUCAAUUUUGCAGUUCUUGUCGAGAAGAUUUUAAGGACUGUGCCUGAUGUGGGGAAGAUAUAUUUGUUGAUAAAAGCAAAAGACAAAGAUACAACAAUGGAAAGAUUGAAAAAAUAAGUAAGAUUCUAAGAUCAGUUAUAAUUUUCACUUUUUUAUAUAUCUUUGUCGUUAUAGAUUUAUUAAAAUCUGAAGCUACUUUAUUGGUUGAGUGUAGAUUGUAGAUUCAGAACUUUUCAGGUGCAUGGGGAAAUCCCAUGACAAUGUUUAUCGGGAAUUUAUAAUGAACAAGCUAGUACCUGUAGUUGGUAAUGUUUGUGAAUCCAAUCUUGGAAUGGAAGCAGAAUUAGAUGAUCUCAUUACAAAUGAGGUUGAAAUCAUAGUUCAUUCUGCUGGAAAUACAUCAUUUCACGAAAGGUCUAGUAUAUUUAUGUUUUGACAUUUUGCUUCUGUUAUUCACCAUGAUCCUAUCAAAAACUCUGAGAUAAACUUUUUCUCCGAGUCAUAUAAAGUUGUAGUAACACUCAUAUACUUACAAAAAUUUCAGGUAUGAUGUAGCCCUAGAUAUAAACACAUUGGGACCAUGUCGAGUUUUGAGCAUUGCAAAAAGAUGCACAAAGCUUACGUUGUUCAUGCAUGUAUCAACAGGUAUGGAUUCUUGUCACCUGAAAGAUUUACAACAUCAGCUUCUACUAUGAGCCUAUCUAGUGCAAAAUCAGACUGAAACCUAACAGGAUAUAACUUUCACAGAGUAUGUGAAUGGGCGUAGACAAGGAGUUGUCUCAGAGAAACCAUUCUACCUAGGAGAGAAUAUAGCUAGAGAAAAAGCUUCUUUAGAAAGUCCUGGGAGAUCUAUUCCAGUUUUGGAUGUAGAGGCUGAAAUAAAAAUGGGUUUUGAUGCAAGAUAUGCUUUUCAAGGCAAUAUGGUGACUCAAAAAAUGAAAGACUUGGGUUUAGAGAGGUAUUCACCCCACCGUCUCUGUUAUUUUGUUGUUCAUAUUUUUUUUUUUUUUUAUAUUGAUAAGCUCAACGAAUUACACAAAAGUAGAGGACAAACGCGCUACAAACUGCGCGGCAAGUCCUUUCUGGAUAGCAAACCCGAUUCUCCUAAAUACAUAUUCGUUCGAACCCGCAGUCAUCACGUUGCUAUUCAUUACCUUCUGCAUUCUCCCGAGGAGAGCAAUUGCUUCUGAGCCUAGCAAUCCAAAUGUGUCAAAUGCAAAGGGGAUGAAACUAUGUUGGUUAGCUCUAUAAGCUCCGUCAUGUUUCUCCACUUUUUUUUUUUAAUUUUUAAUUUAAUUUUAUAAAUUUUAUUCAAUUUAUAUUAUGAAUGACAACAUAUGCUGAUGACGAGUUGAUCUUGUUGCAUGGCACUAUUACUUGAUUGUGUUAAUUGCUGAAUUCUGAUGAUAUGAAUAAGUUAUGGAUUGUAAAUAUUUUAUGACAGGGCUAGAAUGUUUGGAUGGCAAGACACCUAUACGUUCACAAAGGCAAUGGGGGAGAUGAUGAUCGAAAGCAAAAGAAAGGACAUACCAGUAGUUAUAGUCCGCCCCAGCAUUAUUGAGAGUACCUACAAAGAACCCAUGCCUGGAUGGGUGGAAGGGAUCAGGUGUGUUUCUUGAAUUACGUUUUGUAUUCAAUUUUUUUAUCUUUUUUUUUACCCUUCCUUUUUAUUCUGGUUGGAUAAAUGUUAUGUGAAUACUAUGACCAGGAUGAUGGACCCAAUAGUUUUAUCUUAUGUAAAAGGUGAACUCACUGGAUUCCCCAUAGACACCAAGGGAGUUAUCGACGUGGUAAGUAGAAUUUGUUUACGCACUAUCUAUAUUCCAAAGCCACUACAUCUUGUGUAUGUGUUAUUUUGUUUGUCUGUCUCUAUUUUGAUUUUGAUUUAACUUUCAAUCAAAUGAAAACAUGAUUUGAUGUAGGUUCCCGUCGAUAUGCUUGUAAAUGCAAUGUUAUCAGCAAUGGUGAAACAUGGAGCAGUUCAAAGACCAGGAUUGAAAGUAUACCACAUUGCUUCUUCAGUCGUAAAUCCACUACUGUUCCAAGAUUUGAUUAAUUGUAUGUUUGAAUACUUUGAUUCUUGUCCGUACACGGAUGUGAACGGAAGGCCAAUCAACAUUAAGAGAAUGAAGGUCUUCAAAUCCAUGGAUAAUUUUUACUCCCACAUUCAAACAGAAGCUGUUCAAAGGAGCGCUAAUUCUUCCCAAGGGAAGAUUUUGUCAAGGAGACUUCAAAGAUCAUUGGACAUGGUGAAACAUUUGGCCGAGCUAUAUGAACCGUACACAUUCUAUGGAGGAAGGUAAGAUACUGUUAAUCUUUUGAAGGCUUAAUAUGUUUUCCUUUUAUGUUUUAUAUUUUUACUUGAUAAAAUGUUAUUAAUAGUAGAUUAUAAUCUUAUAUAUAUAGUGUGAUAGAGAAUGUCACACCACAUCCCAAAUUGCCUGGAUAUACACUAUUGGCCAAUGUGCAGCAAAUAUUGCAUCCUCCCACCUCCCCAUCUAACCAUCUAACCAAUAGUUUCUCAUUGAUGGUAUGAAAUAAAUCCAAUCUUAAGCUUUGAUGUUAGAUCAGAUCUCCUCCACGAAGACCUUUUUAUCAUUAGAGUUCCUUUGUUCCUUUCUAGUCAAGAUGCACAGAAAAUAGUGUGGAAUAGAAGCUUCCGAAUUGAAUGUCCACCUCUUAAAAGGCUUUUUUACACUUCCAUUCAGCUAGGAGAUUUUCUAUAUCACCUUCCAUGACUUGAUUAUUCUUUACGAAAUCAUAGUCUACCAAGAAGAUGAACCCUCUGCGCUUCAUUGUACCCUUAGAACACCCAAGAUUGAUCAACUUGUAAGGGUUAAAAGCAGUCACAGUGUACAGAGUGAACAUGCGGGGGGUGGUGAUAGGAUUACAAUUUUUUUUUUUCUCGUUGAUUAAGGAUACCACCUUUUAAACUUUUUAUAAACUGAGAUUUGUAUAAUGCUGUAAUUCUUACACAUUUCUGACAUUCCACAAUUUGUACAUACCUGACUUUCUGCUAUGCUCCCAUUUUCUCUUGGGUUUGACGUUGCCGUGUCACUAUUAUGUAGCAGAAUUUUCUUGGUCCCACAUGGCCCUGCAUCCACAUCUGUGGUGCAUAAUAAAGCAUACACUAGCUAAUGGUAUAACUAUAAUCCCUAUAUAAAACAAUUUAUCAAUGUAGAAAAAUGUUAACUAGCCGCUGGAUUUCCACUGACAAGUGAGAUUUUCAUUACUUGUCAGAUUCGAUAACACCAAUACGCAAAAAUUAAUGGAGGAGCUGUCUCAAGAGGAGCAGAGGGACUUUAAUUUCGACAUUGGAGGCAUAGAUUGGAAGGAUUAUAUAUGUAACAUUCAUAUUCCUGGUCUACUGAGACAUAGACAAAAAGUAAGAGACCCUUAGUUCUUAUUUGUAUGGUAUAUGGUGCAGGUAUAUAAAUAUGUAUUGGUAUUAAGUUGUGAAAUUUGAAGAAUAAAACCAGAACAUAGUUGGUUCAAAUUUGUAUUUAAUGAGAUAGCAAUCGAGCACUUAUAGAAGUUGUACAAGUAUGGAAGCGUUUUGUGGACAGUUUUCUCCCAAGGGAUCAAUCAAUACUUGGGCCGCGGCCUAACUUCCUUCUCCUCCACAGGUUAGUUUGUAGUGAAGAAUGAACCCCAUUGGAUGUGUUUGAGGGCAGGUCUGAAGUCUGGACCAUUAACGUUGGAAUAGAUGUGAACGGUCCCCAUCCCAGACCUGCCUGCUACCGCCCAAUCUCUUCUUUUCCCGCUGUAGAUAUAUGUUACAUGUGAUCAGACGUCGUCGUUAUUUUCUAAUCCGUUGCAUACCCGAACGUCAUAAAUUUUUAAGAAUCAGAAGCGUUAGGUUGCACUAACGUAUUACACACGGCUAGAGAGUUUUGAACCCAAAGGCUCUUGUUUUAAAUGUUAGCUUUUAUUGUAAGUUGUUCAGGAUUGUGAUGUGUCACAAAAAUUGUGAGACAAAGUGUGAAUCCCAUUUACACUAAUCUAAAAUAUAGGUCAAGCCAACAUCAUUAUGCUAAAAAAUUUGGCCUAAAUUGUUAGCUUUCACGUAGAGAAAAUCUAUACACGUGAAAAAUACCAAUACACAUGAAAAUAUGCAUGCAAAUUAAGCCAAUUCACAUUAAUUUGGUGGAGUUUGGAUAAAGUUUUAACCUAUCACAUGAUUGAUAUAAAGUUUUUUUUUUUGAAAAAGAUAAGCUGGGGUUAAGGCAGACCCCCACCUGAUCCAUAACAUCAUAAGAAAGCUUUUACAACUAUCCUAAGAGUAUACUCGUUAGAAGGAGGUCCAACUUAGUACAAAUAAACAACAAGGUUGAGGAGCCUUACAUACAUGAUAAAAGAGAACACACCAAAAGGUUCAUAAGAAAAACCUUCUCAUGGUAAACACAAUGAUCAAUCCUUGAAGAGUUUCACCAAUUCAGGAUGAUCCUUCCUGAUAGCUACUUUCAAUUAUCGUAUACUUAAAUGAUUCAAGAGUCCUACCCAAUAUUGUUUCUUGCAUGUAAAAAUUAGCCACAUCCGGCCAACUUGCUAACAAACUGUUCAACUAUUUAAAUACUGAAGUGAUAGAUCUCUAUAUCUCUCUCUUUAUAUAUAUAUGUUGAAAAUAUCAAAAUAUACAUACAAAUAAGUUCACCAUUUCUCUUUUGAAGCUAUUACACGUUAACUUGUCUAAGUUGGGAUGAAAUCUUUGUCUAUGCAUGGAAUCUCAACUGCACAGAACCAUAGGAUGCAUAGAAAGACGUUAGGGUUCGCAUAAGGUAACUAUUCACUCUUUACUUGAUCUAAUUUCUAAGUUGGCCUCCAGGACUGACUUGGGCGUUGGAGCUUUCCCCACCGGAUUAUAGCCGGUAGUCUUUGCAGGUAUCAGAAGGAGAUAGAAGAGAAGGAGUUCAGCAACCCAGAUCUGUGACCAAACUCAAGAUUGAGCAUACAAUAUCCAUACAAAGAAGUUCACCUUUGCUCUUUAAAGCUAUUACAAGUUAACUUGUCUAAGUUGGGAUGAAUUGUUUGAAUGUGCAUGGAAUCUCUACUGCUUCAACAUUACUCCAUAGAAAUGACUUGUGGGAGGAGAAGAAAAGAAAAGUGAUCAGGUUGUGUUACAACGGAAAAAGUAGGAACUUAACAAGUUCUGGUGAUUUGACAUCUACAGAACUUGGUUCAAUAAAGUCAGAUAAAAUCCACCUUCCUUCUUUGAAUAAUUUGAGUAUCAAGGAACUAGCACCACUUCAGCAAACAAAAGAAACAAGAUCGAGAGAAGUGGUUAACUCGAAUGGAAUUGGAAUUGUUCCUUUUCUUACAGGAAGGGUCUUUCUGAUAACUGGUGCUACUGGUUUUUUAGCAAAAGGUACGGUUACUAUUAUAGAGUUAUUGGUAUGUUUCUCAUUAAAUAGAUUGUUAAAGUACCUUUGUUACUUGUUUACUUGCAGUUCUAAUUGAGAAGAUUUUAAGGACUAUGCCUGACGUGGAUAAGAUUUAUCUCUUGAUAAAAGCAAACGACAAAGAUGUAGCUAUGGAAAGAAUGAUGAAAGAAGUCAGCUUUCUUGAAAUGUCUAAAUUAUUUGUUGAUUUUUUUUGUUGGUUAUACUCGUUAUCAUCUGACUUUACUGUGAUGGUUGAGUCGAUCUAGAUUGUAGAUACAGAGCUUUUAGUGCAUAUGAGACAGUUCUAUGGCAAAUCAUACAAGGAAUUCAUGUUGAACAAGCUGGUACCUAUAGUAGGAAAUGUUGGUGAAUCUGGACUUGGAAUGGAAGUGGGAUUUGCUGAUCACAUCGCAAAUGAAGUAGAUAUCAUAGUCCAUUCAGCUGGAAAUACAACUUUUGACGAAAGGUUUGAUACUUUGUCUUUAGUGCAUGCAACUGAUACUAUUUGGCUUUAGUAGAGUGGCAUGGAGAUCUUAUAUAUAUAGAGGUGUUAAACCAGUACGCUUGGCUUUCUUGACAUUUUAAUCACGAAGCCAUCAAGGCUUGAGGGCAUGGCCAACCCAAGCCUCAGUAUUCUGGGGCGGGUUGCGCCUAGCUUCUACUUGAAAUCUAAAAUGUGUCCCCUUAACCUCUCUUGGGGGAUUUAAUAGGGCUCAGGAAUGUGUUUGAGCCUCGAAAAUCUAAUUCCUACCCCUGCCUCCGAAAGGUCUAAUGGCAAGGCCAGCUCAACCUCAUAUGUGAGAGCUGAGCCUAGAUUUAUCUCUUGGGCCAGUUUGACAGGCCGAGACUAUAUACAUUUUUGUGACAAAUGCUUUGGUUUUAUUUUGAUCAUCCAGGACAAUCACAUUUAAACUAAUCGGAUGAACCUAUUAAAAGUCUUGAUAAAAAAAUGCUAAUUUUCGGUGCCAUUCAAGUGAUAAUAACAUUUGGCAUACUACCAAAAUUCUCAGGUAUGAUGUAGCAAUUGAUAUAAACACGUUGGGACCUUGUCGAAUGUUGAGCUUUGCAAAGAGAUGCAAGGGGCUUAAGUUGUUCAUGCAUGUAUCAACAGGUUUGAAGUAACUUCAAAGAUCUACAACAACAAUCUCUGUUAGGUUUUAUUAAUCUGCUUAUUUAAUGUUUUAUUAAUAUGUGAUAAGUAUGGUUGUAAUUGGUUCUUUUUUAUCAAUGAAAUUUACAUGUUUAGCAAAAAAAAAAAGUAUUUGCUGCAAAAUAUAUGCUUAAUGCCAUUGACUGGAACUUAUUCUCACAGCAUACACCAAUGGGCAGAGAAAAGGAGUUAUCUCAGAGAAGCCGUUCCGCAAUGGAGACAGUAUAACUAGAGAGUUAGCUGCUUUUGAAUAUAGUAUGAGUUCCUUCCCUAUAUUGGACGUUGAAGCUGAAAUAAAGGUGGCUUUGGAUGCAAGGAAUGCUUUUGAAGACAAUAUAGUGACUCAAAAGAUGCAAGAUUUGGGAAUGGAGAGGUACUAUGGAUACCCAAACUACCAAUGCCCUUUGCAAUACAUUCUUUCUUUUAUGAGAAGUUGAAUCUGUUAUCGAUGGCUUCAUAUGUGAAUGGCCAAUAAAACGUAGACAACUAGUUGAAUUUAACUGGAAAUGACAAUCUGUAUAUUCUGUAUGACAGGGCAAGAAUGUAUGGAUGGCAAGACACAUAUGUGUUCACAAAGGCAAUGGGGGAGAUGAUGAUAGAAAGUCAGAGAGAAGAAAUACCAGUUGUUAUAAUUCGUCCUAGCAUUAUUGAAAGUACCUAUAAGGAACCCAUCCCUGGAUGGAUCGAAGGGCUCAGGUUUCGUAUUUAAUUUCUUAAAUAUGUUCUGACCAUUUGUUUUUUCUUUGUUACAUAUUAUUUGGCUAAUUUUGUUAUGUUAAUACACAAUACCUAGGAUGAUAGACCCACUACUUAUAUACUAUGGAAAAGGAGAACUGACUGCAUUCCCUGCAGAUGCAAAGGGUGUCAUCGACGCGGUUAGUAGCCUGCAAUCAUAAAUAGAGUCUAUUUGCAGUUUUAUUUCAUAUACGUUGAAUAAACCUAAAUUUCUUAGGUAGAUGUUAUCUUUUAAGAUAAAUACCAUGUCUCUCUUUACUAAUCAGUAUUUUUAUAAAUCAUGAAUUAAUGUAGG